rnacentral:rRNA from 1 species
CACGUAGGGCGCAAGCGUUGUCCGGAAUUAUUGGGCGUAAAGAGCUCGUAGGCGGUCUGUUGCGUCCGCUGUGAAAACUCGGGGCUUAACCCCGAGCCUGCAGUGGAUACGGGCAGACUAGAGGUAGGUAGGGGAGAAUGGAAUUCCCGGUGUAGCGGUGAAAUGCGCAGAGAUCAGGUGGAACACCGAUGGCGAAGGCAGCCUCCUGGACGGGUACUGACGCUGAGGCGCGAAAGCGUGGGGAGCGAACGGG